rnacentral:rRNA from 1 species
UACGGGGGGGGCAAGCGUUGUUCGGAAUUACUGGGCGUAAAGGGCUCGUAGGCGGCCAACUAAGUCAGACGUGAAAUCCCUCGGCUUAACCGGGGAACUGCGUCUGAUACUGGAUGGCUUGAGUUUGGGAGAGGAAAGCGGAAUUCCUGGUGUAGAGGUGAAAUUCGUAGAUAUCAGGAGGAACACCGGUGGCGAAGGCGGCUUUCUGGACACUAACUGACGCUGAGACGCGAAAGCGUGGGGAGCAAACAGG